GUCCGGCACCGCCCGCGGCGGGCGUGAGCAGUGAGUAAGGACGCCAUGGACGGCCUUUGCCUGCCCGAGAGCUCGGUGGUGGGCCUAGACCACGGCCCCCGCAGUCCCGCGCUCCAGGGGUCCCGGGCCUCACAGGGCCUGAUAAAGGUCGCUUCGCCGGGAGGCGGCGCAUGGCCCCUGACCUCCGCCCUCCGAAGAAGGAGCACACUUUUGGCACCGCUGGAAAUAAUGGCCUCCGCGAGGAGCGAGCUUGGGAGCGGCUGCUGGCCCCAGCCGGGCGGCUCGGGCGCCGCCCUAAGCCAGGCCUGCGCUCCCUGCCCCGAUCCCCUCACUCCCGCGGAAAGUGAAGGGGGAAAGUCCUCCUGAUCCCCGGCCGGAAGGAAUGAAGAGUCGCCCAUGCGGUCUGGCUUGCCAAUCUCGGCUCCCCACCGCCAAAGGUUCCUUCAUGGAAGAGUUGGGGCUGCUUGUGGACAGGCCUAAAGGAAGACAGUGAAGAUCCUUAUCACAGCUUGCAGCCCAGAAGAGCUUUUUCUACCCCCCACAACAUGCCUUAGACAACAGUAACACUUUCUUGUUCUAACCCUAUCUUAGAUGUAAAUAAAAGUCACUAGUCUGGUUUUCAAUCCGAAGUGUAAUCGGGAGAAAAAGAAAACAUGCCUUCAGUCCGUUACUCUUUUCAAAAAACAAAUUUAGUAAGAUAUGUCUCAUGUAAUAGAUCUGUUACAAGGCACACUUCCGGUCUUCAGAGAUAGGAAAAUAUCAAUUGAUGGACAUACGAUGACAAGGUUUCCUUUAUAAAAAUGGACUCUUGUCUAUUUUUUAAUAACGCAACCAAUAGACGAGAUAUAUUUGACUUGGAUUUCAAAAUAUAAGGAAGACAAUUUAGUGCUGACUCAGUAAUCCUAGCAGUAUUCAGUAAGAAGCUAUAGAAAUCCCAGCUGAUUUUGCACACAGACACGGUUUUAAAUUGUUCCCCUGAGACCAGUAACUAGACUAACAAACUGUAGUUUCAUAUAGAUUAUAUUUCAUGUUUAAUUACUUUCUCUGAAACACCUUUUCCAUUCUUUAUGGUAUUCAAUUUUAUUUGAAUGAGUAUGGAGAGCUGAAUGUUUUCUACAGCUAAAUUAACACAUGCAUUGUUAACUUUGUCACACGACCUUCAAAGCCUGGGAGAUUUUGACACCAAGAUCUUCCCUCUCCACACACACACUUAGACUGGCGCAAGCAGAUAAAAUUCAGCCAGCAUUUGGCCAUCUUCCUGGAGUUGGCGGUUCUUGACUCGAGCCCAUAAGAAUUAUAAAGCUACCCACCCCAAAUCCCUCAAAACCUUUCCCACCACAUAAUCAUCACUAGCUAAUAGCAGAAUUGCAUUGAGUGGAUGCAAUGGGUGGUGGUGGAGUCAGGUAGACCUAGAUUCAAAUCCUUACUGCACAGGCUGUGUGACCUUGGGAAAAUUACCCUCUAAGCUGGAACUACAUGUCUAGUCCAGUUACAGAUAUCCAUCCUCCAUUAUGAAGCAUGAAACAACUUUUAUACAGUAACAUCAAUCUUUAUAUCACUAUAUAAUUUUUUAGAUCUCAAAAGUUUAUAAUUUGUCAAGUAAAUGUAUAUACAAUAGGUAUGAAGCCUCCAAGGUUUAGGUCCUCACUGGAGAGAGAAAUGGUGAGAUAAAUGAUUGUGUGAUUAUUUCUAUGCAAAAUGAAUCUGGAAACCUGUACAGACAGCAGAGAGGUUGAGCCAGAGCAUGAAUUGUGAAAUCAUACAGCUCCAGGUUCGAAUCCUAACUAUACCAUUUGAUAGCUGGGUGACCUUACACAAGUUAGUCUAGUUUGAGCUUCAGUGCCCUUAUCUGUGAAAAAGAAAAUAUAUCCACUUUACAAUGUUAUUUUGACUAUUAAAUGCCAUAAGGUAGGUAAAGUGCCAGAUACAUAAUAUACAUUCAAAGACCUCAAAGAAAAAAAGGGAGGAAGGAAGGAAGGAAGGAAGGAAGGAAGGCAGGCAGGCAGGCAGACUGGAAUUUCUAAAAUCCUUUCUUGCUUUCACAUUCUGGGUUCUAGAUGUAUUGAUCACCACUCUACCAAUCACUGCCUCCUUAUCCCUCCCCAGCCUCUCUAUAAACCCAACACAUAGUUCUAAUCCACUUUUUACUUAAGGCAUAUAAUCUCAACAUUGCUACAUCUCCCCUUUAUUCUAAAAUUAAACCUCAUAUCACUUACUACUGAUUCUUAUUUCAUAAUUCUAACAACACACUAGGAGCAGGGGAGAGUAAUUUGAGUGUACCAAGUUAAUAUGACUAAUAUAUGCAUAGAUAAAUCAACAUUUUAAAAUUAUAUAAAUUUGUGUCAUGCUGAGUCCGAUUAUGGACUAAUUAGUGUAUAAUUUGUAGUUAAUACUUAUAUAAGUGCCACCAAUUAAUAUCAGAGAAGAAGCCCAUUCAAUUAUAGGAAAACAAAUUUAACUUUCGAACAACUAAAUACUUAACCUGAAGCAUUUAGGAAUAUGUAGUUCUUUCGUAAUGUUAGUGUCAUGUAACCCAUACAGAUAAAAAGUCACACAGUAGAGUCAUGAUUUAUCUAGUGUUAUAAUUAGAACCAUACUUUUUUUAUAUCAAAAAAAGUACCAAAAAAAAAAAAAUGUACCAGCUCUUCCCAUACUCACCAGUGUCCUAAAGAUUACCCACCUGAUGUCCAAACAUGUUGAUGACCAAAAUAAAUACAGAGUAAGGGUUGAGGGGAGAUAGGGAGCCAAGUACAGACAGACUUUCAGUUAUUACAAAAACUUCAGUGGUCAAAAUAGUUUUGAGACUUCUAAAUGAAGUCAAGACCACCCACACCCACCAGGAACCUAGAUUCCUACCCUCACCAGGCUGUAAAGAGACACCUCAAAUCACCACCACCACCUCACUGGGGAGGCUGGACUUCCACCCCAAUCCAGCAGAAAUGAGGGAUCACUACCCCUCCCUGCUGAGUUGGUGUGAGAGGAGGCCUACUGCCCAGUGGUAACCAGGCCACCACUCCCAUGGUGUCAGUGGAAGCAAUGUGGGGAGCACUAAUGAGGCACUCCCACACCUCCCAGCCAGGGUGAUAUCGAUGGAGGCCUACUGGGGAGCCAGAACUCCCAUCCAUAUCCAGCAGUAACAAGAAGACCCUCCCCCUCCACCAGUCAACCAAGGUUGAGUAGGGAACCUGGACUUCUUCCACCCCUACCUGAAAGUAGUAAUAGGCAGUGUUUUCCCUCCCCCGACCAGAAGGAUGCCAGAAGAGGCCUGCUAAAACAAGAUUCCAAUGAGAUCCACAGUCUCAUAAUACCAAAAAUGUCCAGGUUUCGAUCAAAAAUCCUUCAUACCAAGAACCAGAAUAAUUGGAGCUUAAUUAGAAAAUACAACCAACAGAUGUGAACACUGAGGUAAAUCAGAUGUUCAAAUUAUCUGACAAGGAUUUUAAAGCAACCAUCAUGAAAAUGUUUCAAUGAGCAAUUAUGAACCCACUUAAAUGAAAAACUAGAAAAUCACAGCAGAGAAAUAGGAAGUUUCAGCAAAGAAAUAGAAGAUACAAAGAAGAACCAAAUGGAAAUUUUAGAACUGAAAAAUAUAGUAGCCAAAAUAAAAACCAAAUAUAUGGGCUCAACAUCAGAAUGGAAGGGAUAGAGAAAAGAAUCAGUGAACGUCAAGACAGAACAACAGAAAUUACCCAACUUGAACAACAGAGAGAAAAUAGACUGAAAAAGAUAAUAAUAAACAGAACCUCAAGGAUCUGCGGGACUGUAGCAAAAGAUCUAACACUUGUGUCCCAGAAGGAGAGGAGAAUGGUCAGGGCCCAAAAAGUAUGCAAAGAAAUAAUGGCUGAAAAUUUCCCAAAUUGACAUGGUCCCUGUCCUGAGCUCUUACUUGGAGAGUUGUAUAAAUAAAUUCUAUACCAUAAUGCACAGUGCUGAGUGCUGUAAGCUUUGCCCAAAUUUCUGUGGAUGCUCAUGGAAGAGGCAUCUUUAUCAGCUUAGAGGGACCAAAUAAAGCUCCUAGCAAAUAGAUUAUGGAUUAGUAGGAACUAGGGGGUGGGUGUAGAGGUGUGUGUGUUCCAACCACAGGCAGCAAUGUGUCUGCAAAAGCACAGAAGCCUAAGAAUAUGAGAGUUACAGUAACUUCAAGAAGUUGCGUAUGGCUGUGACCAAAAAGGUAAGGAAAGAACUGGGAGUUAGAGUUGGAAAAUUAGAAAAGCAUACUCAAGAACCAUACUGACGGGUUAUAGUGAUUUUAGGCACAGAAAUAAUAACUGUAGAGUUGCUAUUGGUGUUAGUGCUGCUGCAUUAAACAGAUUUCCUUUCACCUGGGCUGAGCAAUUGGCACCAACCUCAAUGAGUAUUGGCUAGCCAAUUGGUCUAGCCCUUUUGCUAGACCAGGGGGCAGAAAACUACAACCUACAGGCCAAAACCAGUCUGCCACCUGUAUUUGUACAGCCAUUUUGUCAUACAUUAAAAUUAUAUGAAAUUCAAAUUUGGCUGUCCAUAAAUAAAGUUUCAUUAGAACAUAGUCAUGCUCACUCAUUUAUGUAUUAUCUAUGGCUACAUUCACAAGGCAACACACAGUUAGAUGGUCACAACAGAGAAUGUAUGUGGUAGUCUCAUCACUUUCCACUGCUGCUUAGUGCCCUACAAAUCACAGUAAUCCUGUUAUAGCUUGGCAGGGUUUCAAGUGCCACACAUAUAACACCAUUACAUUUUUUUAUUAUCAGUACACGUCUAUCAUGUCUAUCAUGUCAAAACAUGAAAAAAGAGGAAAAUGGGCUUCAAAUAUCAUGCUUUUAAGGCACAGUAGAAUGUGGAUGGUUUCGUUAUAAAUUUGAUGGCAAAGCAUUUAUCAUAUAAGUCAACGUUAUUAGGCUACACUCAUCACAAUUUUCCCAAGUGCUAGGAAAGCAACAGUGAGAACAAUUAGAGGAUUUAAAACAGAAUAUUUCAUCACAGCAGAAUUUCUUCACCAAAAUAAAAAAUGAAAAGGAGACUGCAACCGAAGCCAUUUUCUGAGUGGCUCAUUUCUUAGCCAGGCAAGGGAAGCUGUUUAAUUAAAUUGUGUCGGAUUGCACCAGCCAAAGUAAUAUGCCCAGAGAAAAUAAAUUUAAGGCUAUUAACCUUUCAGCUUGGAACAGUUGCUUAAAGAGUUGAGGACAUUGGGAGCAACAUCAAUAGUCAACUAAAAAACAAGGCAAUUACCUGAGUGGUUUUCCCUGGCUCUUCAUGAGUUAACAGAGAAUACAGAUACUACUCAAUUGUUAUUUAUUUGAAGAGUCAAUGCCCUGUUUGAAGUGGCUUCAGUUUCCAAAGAAGCUGAAAAAGCAGUGAUGCCCUACAACAUGAAGUGGAACCUGCUAAGAUGUGUUACAACUGGUGGUAGCAAGAAUAAGCGUGACGCCGAAAAAUGCUUAUUGGAACAAAUUACAAAGUUGGUGAAAAUGUAAGACAUUUAAACCCUAUGGCUAUUCAUUGUAUUACUCAUCAGUAAUUACUUUGUGGUAAUAUUGGAAUUUAGCAUGUGUUAUUGAACCAGCGGUGUCCCCAGUAACUUCAUUCACACUCAUGGACUUAACCAUCAUCAGUUCUGUGAAUUUUUAUCAGAAGUAAAAACUGAAUAUCCUGUCUUGCUCUACCACAGAGCAGUUCAGUAUCUUAGCAGCGGCAAAGUUCUACUGUGAUUCUUCAGAGCUCAAGACCAAAAUUGAGAAUUUUUGAAUGAGAAGAACAGCCCUCAACCCCUAUUAUCAACCUAUGAAUGGCUUUGGAAACUAGCUUUUGCUGGAGGCUUGUUAAUAGGUCUAAAUGAACUUUACCACUUCCAAGGUAAAACAACAUUUACACAUAAGCUUACACAACAGUAAAGUCAUUUUGAUGACAAAUAACAUUGCCCAAACUACAAGUACUGUCAAGCCACUUUCUAUAUUUCCAUGCUAUCAAAACUUAAAAUAAGAGGCAAAUUAUCUAUUCCUAUACAAAUUUACAACAUGUAUAUUUUCCAAGUUCAAGCCUCAGUUCCAAGUGACCUCAAUUUUUCAGACCUCAGUGCAAGUGUAAGGAAAUUUCCGUAUUUUGAAAUUCAUUUAACAGGGCAAUUGAGUAGUUUCUACCUAAGCAUCAUUUGGAAGUGAUUAACUGCAAUGUAAUGAUAUACUAAAAGGCAAAUUUCAAGAGAAAAAUCUAAUAGAAUUCUAUAAAUGCCUUCCAUGCAAUGAACAUGCUCAAUUAAAAUCAUAUGCGCAUGGAUUGAUGUCAGUGUUUGGCAGUGCCUAUCUGUAGGGAAAGACAUUUUCAAAAAUGAAAUACAUAAAAUCCUAUUACAGAUCAGCAUUAACAGAUGAACAUUUGCAAACUAAUUCGAUGAUAAGCAAUACUAACUUUGAACCCUAAUUAAGCAAAAUGUAUUCCAAAAACAAAGAAUCCCAUUUUUCUCAUUAGUAGACCUGUAUUACCAAAACUACUGAAUUAUUACUACUGGGUUUUUAAUUUCAUCAAUACAAUAUUUGUGGAAAUUUGAUUUUUCUCUUGCUAUGUAAAUACCUACAUAAUAUCUUUAAUUUUGCCUCUUGACCUGCAAAAUCUAAAAUAUUUACUGUCUGGCCCUAUGUAGACAAGGUUUGCCAACCCCUGGUCUACCUAAUUGAUUCCAUGGGGACUUCUAGACCAAAAUGAUAUAUUGUUCUUUGUUCCCAAAUAUAUCCUGUCCUAACAUCUCACAAAAAUCCCCUCAAAUACAUUAAAAAAAAAAAAAAAGACAAGAUUUCACAAUAUCAAAGACUAAAACUGACAGGUAAUCUAAGUCUUGGAUCUGGGUGAAAUUGAUGUUAAUUAUGAGGCAGAUGGUCCUAAAUGGCUGGAUUAAGAAAAUGGCAAUCAUGGUUUACCUGUGCUUCAUUUCCUCAAAGACAGUGACUGAAAAAGGUAGGAAGCCACUUAUUUAAGGCCCACACUCUAUCCCCUGAUGACCCACCACCAUCUGUCUCCCAAUUCACACACAUGGUGCUUAAACCAACAAGAGAUGGCAGUUCUCUCCCCUUGAAGGCUGCUCACCAGAAUACUGAUCCCUACCCCCACCUCCACACCAUAUCCUCUAGACUCCUCUAUUUCCUAUUUAUCUAGGCAGAUAGAUAAAACAAGUGGGCAGGAAACAGGACAGAGAUUGGGAGGAGACUUACAUUUAAGGAAGUGCAGUCCCCAUAACCAUGGCCAGCUUCAUGGGAGUGCAACCUCGGCAGGCACACAGGGCCCUGUGAUAAGAAGGGCCUCGGACUUGGUUUAAUGUUCUGCUGUUACCAUCUUGAAAUUCUCGGUUUUUUAACAAGAGGCCCUGCAUUCUUUCUCAUUUUGCAUGUAACUUUCCUGCACGUUAAACAGCCAGACCUGGCCAAAACUUUCAGGAAAGGCCAGCUUCUUGAAAAUCCCUGAGAGAAGCCUGUGCUAGGAACUGUAUUGUGAUUGGUAUCACACUAGUAAAUAAGCUUGCCCAGAAAAAAACAAAUGUCAGUCGGUCUGAUUUCUCACAUCUAGAGUUUUAGAAAAAUUGGUGACCCCAAAAUAUAAUAUAUGGGUCGUCUUUCAGUAAAGAGGUCAGAAAAACACUCCCUGCUCUUUAAGGGAUCAUAAAAGGUGAAGUUAGACUAUGUGGACAUUAGUGUGCCCUCCAGCUAAAGACUGGAGAUGGAGAUUUCGCCACUAUUUCCAUAGACAGAUGGUGGACCUGGAGGUAACCCGUUCAAUCACCUGUGGACAGAUACUGAGCCUACAGAAACCUUGUUUUAUUGGAGAGUAAGGAGAAUAAUCAGCACAGAGCUAUGAGAGGAGCAGAGCAUCUAGAAAAAUCAGAGGAAAUGAGCACGCUUCUUCACCAUGAUCCAGAAGAAACCUGUUGAUAUUCUUAAUGCUUCUGUAGAAAAAAAGAAACAGAAGGAAUGAAUAGGUGGGACUGAGAUGAAAAUCUAAUAGAAUGAGAUGGAAAGAGAGACAGACAGGGUAAGAAAAAUGAGCAAGUACUCUAAGAAAGCAAAAACAAAACUAAAGUACACACUGGAGACAGUAAAAAAGGAGAAUUUAUCUGGCAGAAAAUUAAGUUUGGUGUCAAGAACAAAGCUGAUGCUAAGAAACCGAAUGGAGUGGAAACAGACAGACAUGGAAACAAUGAGAGAAGAUGAGGGCUGUGAAGAAAAUGAAGAACCAACAUAUGGAUAAUUGGUGUUCCUAAAACAGGAACAAAGGCAAGUGGAAGAGAUAUCUACAAAGAAAGUAAAACAGAAACAUUCCUGUGUUGAAGAACAGUGUCUGUUAAUUGAAAGAGCCCACUGUGUUCUAGCCAAAGUCAAUAAAAGAGGAUGCACAACUGGAUACAUUAUGACAAAAGUGUUAACCUACAAUAUUGUCUAUAAUUGUUCAGGCAAGAAAAUGAAGUCAGAUUGCCCAGAUAAAAGCAAACAUCAAUCUGUCUGAUUUUUCAUAUCUAGAGUUUUAGAGAGAAAAAUUGGUGACCCCAAAAUGUAAUAUAUAGCUGAGUCGUCUUUCAGUAGAGAUGUCAGAGAAACACUCUGCUUUUUAAGGGAUCACAAAAUAUAUCACAUUCUUGAAAACAUUUGUUUGCAGUAUUUUUCAACCAAUCAAGAGAUGAAGUAAAAAAAAAAAAAAAAAGGAGGGGGCUCAAGAAUGGGGAGG